ensembl:snoRNA
UUUCUUUUGUAGUUCAUAAGCAUGAUGACUGGGUUUUCAUGCUUGUCUGUGAGAUGUGCUUCCCUUCAAUCUUGUCAUGUUGUUGGUACAUUACCCAUCUGACA